rnacentral:rRNA from 1 species
UACGGGGGGGGCAAGCGUUGUUCGGAAUUACUGGGCGUAAAGGGCUCGUAGGCGGCCAACUAAGUCAUACGUGAAAUCCCUCGGCUUAACCGGGGAACUGCGUCUGAUACUGGAUGGCUUGAGUUUGGGAGAGGGAUGCGGAAUUCCAGGUGUAGCGGUGAAAUGCGUAGAUAUCGGAAGGAACACCAGUGGCGAAAGCGGCUUCCUGGUCCAGCACCGACGUUCAGGCACGAAAGCGUGGGGAGCAAACAGG